AAUUCCCUAUAUCUAAAAAAAAAUUACAUUUGGUUCUUUACACUGACUGUAUAGAAAGAGGAGGUACAGUAAAUGCACCCCAUAUACACCUCAACCCAGGUCCUUUGCCUGGUCUGUAUUGUGAAUUGGGGGACAAAA